rfam:Octopus bimaculoides Scaffold170690_contig_50, whole genome shotgun sequence.
AGCACGAUGGCCGAGUGGUUAAGGCGUUGGACUUAAGUUCCAAUGGACGAGUGUCCGCGUGGGUUCGAACCCCACUCGUGCUA